GUUAGGGUUAGGCUGCGGGGGGAAGGUUAGGGGAAGGGCUAGGGUUAGGCUGCAGGGAGAAGGUUAGGGGGAGGGUUAGGGUUAGGCUGCAGGGAGAAGGUUAGGGGAAGGGUUAGGGUUAGGCUGCGGGGGGAAGGUUAGGGGAAGGGUUAGGGUUAGGCUGCAGGGAGAAGGUUAGGGGAAGGGUUAGGGUUAGGCUGCGGGGGGAAGGUUAGGGGAAGGGUUAGGGUUAGGCUGCGGGGGGAAGGUUAGGGGAAGGGCUAGGGUUAGGCUGCAGGGAGAAGGUUAGGGGGAGGGUUAGGGUUAGGCUGCAGGGAGAAGGUUAGGGGAAGGGUUAGGGUUAGGCUGCGGGGGGAAGGUUAGGGGAAGGGUU